rnacentral:rRNA from 1 species
CCCUUAGAUGGUCUGGGCGGCACGCGCGCUACAAUGAUGCAUUCAAAAAGUCUUCUGACCUUAGAAGGUUGGGUAUUCUCCAAAGUGCAUCGUGGUGGGAAUAGUUUAUUGCAAUUUUUAAUCUUGAACGAGGAAUUCCUAGUAAGUACAGGUCAUCAACUUGUGUUGAUUACGUCCCUGCCCUUUGUACACACCGCCCGUCGCUCCUACUGAUUGAGUGUCUCGGUGAAUUCUUUGAUCUUCUGUCGAUUCAGUUCACUGAUCCGACGGUGGAAAGUUGAAUGAACUUCGUCACUUAGAGGAAGGAGAAGUCGUAACA